rnacentral:rRNA from 1 species
UCAGCAGCCGCGGUAAUACAGAGGGUGCAAGCGUUAUUCGGAAUUACUGGGCGUAAAGCGCGCGUAGGCGGACUGUUAAGUCGGUUGUGAAAGCCCUGGGCUCAACCUAGGAACUGCAUCCGAUACUGGCAAUCUAGAGUUUAAGAGAGGGAAGUGGAAUUCCAGGUGUAGCAGUGAAAUGCGUAGAUAUCUGGAGGAACAUCAGUGGCGAAGGCGACUUCCUGGCUUAAAACUGACGCUGCAGGUGCGAAAGCUUGGGUAGCGAACGGGAUUAGAUACCCCGGUAGUCCAAGCCGUAAACGAUGUCAACUAGCUGUUGGCCUUAUUAAAAAGGUUAGUAGCGUCUVNMGCGAUAAGUUGACCGCCUGGGGAGUACG